AUUGAACGCUGGCGGCAGGCCUAACACAUGCAAGUCGAACGAGGGGCGGACGGGUGAGUAAUGUCUGGGAAACUGCCCGUUGGAGGGGGAUAACUACGGGAAACGGUAGCGAAUACCGCAUACAAGCGGCUGUGGCCAGAUGGGAUUAGCUAGUGGGUGGGGUAACGGCCCACCAAGGCGACGAUCCCUAGCUGGUCUGAGAGGAUGACCAGCCACACUGGAACUGAGACACGGUCCAGACUCCUACGGGAGGCAGCAGUGGGGAAUAUUGCACAAUGGGCGCAAGCCUGAUGCAGCCAUGCCGCGUGUAUGAAGAAGGCCUUCGGGUUGUAAAGUACUUUCGGCGGGGAGGCGUUACCUGCAGAAGAAGCACCGGCUAACUCCGUGCCAGCAGCCGCGGUAAUUC
rnacentral:rRNA from 1 species